rnacentral:rRNA from 1 species
GGUUAAGUUAGAAAGGGCGCACGGUGGAUGCCUUGGCACUAGGAGCCGAAGAAGGACGGGACUAACACCGAUAUGCUUUGGGGAGCUGUACGUAAGCGUUGAUCCAGAGAUUUCCGAAUGGGGGAACCCACUAUCUUUAGUCGGAUAGUAUCCUUACGUGAAUACAUAGCGUGAGGAAGGCAGACCCAGGGAACUGAAACAUCUAAGUACCUGGAGGAAGAGAAAGAAAAAUCGAUUUCCUGAGUAGCGGCGAGCGAAACGGAAAGAGCCCAAACCAAGAAGCUUGCUUCUUGGGGUUGUAGGACACUCUAUACGGAGUUACAAAAGAAAGUUAUAAAUGAAGCGGUCUGGAAAGGCCCGCCAAAGACGGUAACAGCCCGGUAGUUGAAAUAGCUUUCCCUCCAGAGUGGAUCCUGAGUACGGCGGAACACGUGAAAUUCCGUCGGAAUCCGGGAGGACCAUCUCCCAAGGCUAAAUACUCCCUAGUGACCGAUAGUGAACCAGUACCGUGAGGGAAAGGUGAAAAGCACCCCGGAAGGGGAGUGAAACAGUUCCUGAAACCGUGUGCCUACAAGUAGUUAGAGCCCGUUAAUGGGUGAUAGCGUGCCUUUUGUAGAAUGAACCGGCGAGUUACGAUUUGUUGCAAGGUUAAGCGGAAAAAGCGGAGCCGUAGCGAAAGCGAGUCUGAAUAGGGCGCAUAAGUAACAGGUCGUAGACCCGAAACCAGGUGAUCUACCCAUGUCCAGGAUGAAGGUAAGGUAAUACUUACUGGAGGUCCGAACCCACGCACGUUGAAAAGUGCGGGGAUGAGGUGUGGGUAGCGGAGAAAUUCCAAUCGAACUUGGAGAUAGCUGGUUCUCUCCGAAAUAGCUUUAGGGCUAGCCUCGAGGUAAAGAGUCAUGGAGGUAGAGCACUGUUUGGACUAGGGGCCCUUCUCGGGUUACCGAAUUCAGAUAAACUCCGAAUGCCAUGUACUUAUACUCGGGAGUCAGACUGCGAGUGAUAAGAUCCGUAGUCGAAAGGGAAACAGCCCAGACCACCAGUUAAGGUCCCCAAAUAUAUGUUAAGUGGAAAAGGAUGUGGGGUUGCUUAGACAACCAGGAUGUUGGCUUAGAAGCAGCCACCAUUGAAAGAGUGCGUAAUAGCUCACUGGUCGAGUGACCCCGCGCCGAAAAUGUACCGGGGCUAAACAUAUUACCGAAACUGUGGAUGAACCUCUUUAGAGGUUC